GUGUCAGCAGCCGCGGUAAUACGAAGGGGGCUAGCGUUGUUCGGAAUCACUGGGCGUAAAGCGCGCGUAGGCGGAUUGUUAAGUCAGGGGUGAAAUGCCGAGGCUCAACCUCGGAACUGCCUUUGAUACUGGCAAUCUUGAGUCCGGGAGAGGUGAGUGGAACUCCUAGUGUAGAGGUGAAAUUCGUAGAUAUUAGGAAGAACACCAGUGGCGAAGGCGGCUCACUGGCCCGGAACUGACGCUGAUGUGCGAAAGCGUGGGGAGCAAACAGGAUUAGAUACCCCCGUAGUCC
rnacentral:rRNA from 1 species